GUGUGAUGAGUGUUGGGUGUGAAGAAGCUCCCAAGUGAAAUGAGGUGACCUGAGAUGAUUUCUCUAAACAGAGAGUGAAGAUACAAAAGGGGUGGGACCCUUUACAACUGGGGGCACGGCAAGCUUAAGGAAGUUGCACAGAGGCUGCAGGUCGGGGUGUUCUGCCCUGCUGGUGGGAGGCUGGAGCAAAGAUGGGCCUUUGACCCCCGUCAGUAACAGCAACGCCGCUUUCACCCCCAAAGGAAACAUCUGCCUGGUGCAGUGCAGCACGCAUGUACAGUGAUCUGCUGUGGAGUGAUUCCAGAGGGGCAAUUUCAGGGCACUGCCACAGGCAUAUCCAGUGUGGUUUAUGCUCGUGCCAGCUUUGGUUGUGAAGUGUGGAGCUGUGCCUUGCUCCCAGGCUGCCUCUGUUUGGGGAUAAAGCACCAGGUACCAGCCCUCUGGAGGCAAUUCACCGUCACAGUGCAUCCUGCACAGCGCCAGGCUGAGGCUCAGA